rnacentral:lncRNA from 1 species
UUUUUUUUUUUUUGCUUUGGAAACCCCUGAAUAGGACGUUUGUCGAUUUUCAGAUUUGGAACAUUGCACUUAUGCCCCAAAAAGCAAUAACCAGAUUAGCAUAAAAAAAGGUUUAGGGCUUUUUGUGAUAUACUUUAGCAAUAACCACUUCUCUCAAACAGCAACAAUAACUACUGCUAUGCCUCAAUAUCAAGCUUGUAGGAACCGAUUCAUGAAUCCUCUAUAUCCAUUCUGCUUUAUAUGGGCUUAUAUACCUGACCUGUUUAUCGUUGAGGCUUCAAGUGUUUAUGUUGGAAUCAGUUUCCUUCCUGAUUGAUGUUUUCCUGUCUCAGGUUGAUUUAUUUCUUUUUUUUAGGACCAGAUAGCAUCUAAAGAAAAAUAUUUCUACAAUUGCACUUUGCAGUAAUUUAGUUGUAUACUUGUAUUUACUGAAGGGCCUCUGUGGUUUGGAUUUGGUACCCGUUUUAAUAAGUUUAGCUGAUUAAAUUGGGUUCCUUAUUCACAAUAAACUUUGGCUGAUGAAGAUGAAGUCCUACUUUUAGAGCUGCUAACUCUCACUUCAAUAAAACUGAAUAUCUGAUCCUCUAAUAUCAACAUUUAGAGUAAUGAUGUAUAAUUAUCAUAAACCUGACCAAAUGGUAAGGCUAUUUUCCUGCGUUAGUAUAAUUAUGGUUGUUUUUGUUUUACUUUAUGUUUUCUGUAUUAUAUAUCUUGUUUAACUUUUAAUGGUCGGUUGCUUUUGUGAUUGCAGUAUGUGCUAGAGGAGCUAAACAUUAAGUCUUUGGUCCCAUGCAAUGACACGUUGAAGUAUGCUUCUUUGCGUGCAGAGCCAGAUUUCAGGUGAUCUAGAUGUCAUGUGCCAAGUUUGUCUUCAUUUGUUGUUCUCUGAAUUAAUCUCAUUAACUGGUCCUUGCCUCAGUGUGUUAGGAAAAAGGCUGGGAAAGUCGAUGGGAGUUGUUUCCAAGGAAGUUAAGGCCAUGUCAACAGAAGAUAUUAUUGCUUUUGAGAAAGCAGGAGAAAUUACUGUCGCUUCGCACACUUUGAAGCUUAGUGAUAUCAAGGUGAAUAUGAUUUUUGAUAGUCUUUACUCGGUUCUUUCAAAUUCCUCAUAUUUGUCAGUCGCCACCCGAGAAAGAGUAAAUCAAGUCUGCUCUGGGUUUUCUUUUGUUGGGUAUACCGAAACUGGGGACAAAGGUAGAUUAGGUCAAUUGCCUGUCAGGACCAGAAAUGGAGGAAAAAGUGGCAACUGAAGAAGCAAAUGUUCCUUUAAAAUUUUUGCUGGCCCAAGUUAGUUUCAUGGAUAGGUUAAUAUGUAUUCUGUACGUCGGAUCAGUAGCUUCAGGUAGGUAUAUUGAGUCUUGAGAAAUGUUUUCUUUAUGAUCUGGUUCUUUUAAUUGUGUUGAUUGAAGUAUUUGCCCUACUGAGACACAAGCUUAAUUGAAAUACUUUUGUGGUAAAGUUGAAUAAAAUUGCUGCAAAAGAUUAAGCAUGAAAUUGGUCCUAGCUAUAUAGUUUUGAAGUACCUGGUGAAAUUGUUUCCUGCACACGUCCUUAUGCUAUGGGUUUGAAACCAUUAGAGAUUAAUGAUGAAGUAAGAGUAUCAUAGGAAGUGCUUUACUUUGGUUCAUGUGAAGACCUUUGUUUGUUCAAGGAGACGUCUUGAAUACGGGCUGUUUUUGCUGUCCAUAAUGGUUGUUGAAAAAAAAGAUGAAAGCUGUAAGUCAAAAUAUCUUUAGGAUAGAGGUGUUAUAUUUCAAAGUUGAUCUAGUUCUAUUUCUAAGGAAGAGGAUUAAAGAACCGACUCCUAAAUAAUCUAGACUCCUAAUUCUUGUCAUUGAAUAAAGUAGUAAAACUUUGAAAUAAAAUAUCUAUAGAAAGUACCUAAUAGGUAUGAAUUUGGAUGCUACAACAGACAAGUGCAAUAUUAAUUUGAAGCAGGAGUUUAGGUUUUGAAAAAGUUCGAUUUUAUUUUGCUCAUCUUUAUAUUCAAAAUUCUCGGGAAAGGGUUUCAUUGCUUGUUGUGCACCUCUUGUAUUAUUAUUUGCAUACGAUCUUUAAUGUACUUGUAGAUUGUUCGGGGUUUCAAACGUCCUGAUAAUAGGAAAGAGAAUGAAAUGGAUGCGGCAGGGGAUGGUAAGCAUCUCCUCCUUCACGACUUUAGAUAUUUAUGUUACAUCUGAUUUCUUAUAGUUUUAUUCAUUCGUCGCACAUACAGGUGAUGUUUUAGUGAUACUGGAUUUGCGUACUGAUGAUUCACUGUUUGAGGCUGGAGUUGCUCGGGAGGUAUUCUCGGAAGUCAUUCCCGAUGCGAUUAAUGGCAGAUAUUAUCGAGUUUUUACUUGUCUUUUGAUUGGUUACAGCUGUGUUGGGAGAUUCCUAAUGAGUGGCUUUGAUGCCGAACUCUGCUUGCAGGUUGUGAAUAGGAUACAGAAACUGAGAAAGAAAGCCGCGCUUGAACCCACUGACUUGGUAGAGGUCUUCUUCAAGUCUUUGGAUGAGGAUAAAACAGUCUCUCAGCAGAUUUUGGAGUCCCAGGUAACUUUUCAGGUCCACAGUAUUACUUGAUGUUUCCUAUUCUUUAGGUACCUGGCUCUGUGAAAUCUGUCCUUGGUAGAGAAGAUCUAGAGUCUGAAGAGACUGAAGAAAGAGAACUAAUCUGUUUUUGAAGUUGAAAGGGCUAUUUAACGGAGAGUGAAGAUCCAGGGGGGUGGCAAUCAUUAAAUGUUGGAGCCCAGAGGGUCUUUUUCACUUCUGCCAAAAAAUAAAAUUUUCAUGUACCUCGAUGUUCUUCAGGAAGCAGUUUCUGUUGACUUUAAGAUCUGAUUAUGAAGUCCUGGGUUUCCCGUCUUAUAUAUUAGGCUUAGUCAGCCAUAUUUUAUAUAUUUCUUUAUUGAUUCUCUUGCACAAAUUUCUGAUCUACCUUUACUGAGUAGCUCAGUGUACCAUCAGUCUUUAGAGGCUGGUGCAUGCUUAUUUCUAUUGCCAAAACCUAACUGUUUGUCUCUUCCUUUCUCCACCUUUCUUUUUGGCGUUGCAGGAAUCAUAUAUUAGAGAAGCCCUUGGAUCUCCUUUGCUUCCUGCUGACCCGAUCCCUUCACAUGCAGUGAGUUCUGACUCCUCUUCCUCAUUUAGGACCUUGUGAGCUCUAUCCGAGUGCACCAUUUUUAUGUGUAUUAAUAUUUAGAGCUGGUUUCUUACUUGCAUCCAUCUCUUACAAUUAGAAUGAAAAUUUGUCGCUUAUGAAAUAUUACUGUAGUUUCUUGUACACCGGUUAACAAGUUUGGUAAGUUGCAGAUGACAAUUGGUGAAGAGAGUUUCCAUGGAAUAUCAAGCUUGUCCUUUGUGAUUACGUUAGCAAGACCCAGUCUAGUUUUUGAUUCAGAUGCCAUCACUGCUUUAUAUGGAGGUUGAAUUUGAGAUUCUUGUUGCGGAAAUUUUGGUGAUUUUGAGGUGUUUUUCUGUUUCUAAACUAUCUUCAUCUUGCAGGAAACACACAGUUUUCUCAAGGCUUAAAAACUUACCUGCUGAUGAGGGAUCACCAUAACUUGAAGUCGGAGUUUCAACAAGGAAAGGGCAAGGUGUGUACCGCAAAAACUUCAUAAUGCUAAAUUAUGUGACCAUCUCAUCUAAAAACUUGGAUGGUCACAAGAUUCAACUUGGUAUCCGAGCAUACUUUUAAUCACUUGAUUAUAUUAUGUCUCAAUACGCCUCCUUAUGUAUGAGCCCAAGUCUUAUUUAAUGGGAAGAACACUUUUUUUUUUGUGUGGUGGUGGUGGGAUUUGAAACCCAUGACAUCUUGCCUACGUUGAUACUAUGUUGAAUUGUGAAGCUUUUAGACGAGAUGGUCACACAAUUCAACACAUAAGUCAACUAGAGUUCCUGCAUUUUACGUAGCUAAUACUAUGAUUCUUGCCCCCCCCCCCCCCCCCCUUUGAGGAAGGUAACAUUGAUUUUUGACCCCACUUAUUGUGACCUUGCAGAUAACAGUAAAGUGCAUUGAGAAUCAGCCUCCAGUUGAGGUGGUUCUGGGAAAGCAUGUCUUCUUGAGUGUUGGAGAUUAUUUCUUGAACAGGAAAUUACAGUAACGGAGACUAAUACUCGGCCAAUAUAAUUUUUGACAUGAGAAAUCUAAAAGUUACAAGUCUUCCCAACUUUUUUUAAAAUUAUUGUGCAUUUGCCUCGUCUCUGCACACACUUCUAUUGCGACAGAUCUGUAUUGUAAUUGCCUUCUGGGCCAUUUUAACAACUAGUGUUACGUGAAUAACAAUUUUGAUUUUCUUCUGGUUGGUGUUAACUAUUAUGUACAAUUUUUUCAUGCUCAAAACUUAGUUGAACUAAUUUUCUACUAGAGGCAUGUUCGAUAUGCUUCAUAUGAAGUAAAACAUUCUAUCAGGGUAUGUUUGUUAGCAAAUUCUUUCGUAUUUACCCUUUUCAUUAACGGAGCUCUACUAGCGAAAAAAACGAACUUCAUGUGGCCAGAAAAAUGGUACCAACUAUCUAGGAACCAGAAAAAUAGAUGGAAGAAAGGCAAUAGCGAUAGCAACAAUCAUAACAAUGACAAGAAACUAGAUAAUCGAAGUGGAAGAUAGUAAGAAAAUAGCCAUUAUACUAGCAAUCUAAAAACAACGACAAAAUACUAACAUGCAACAAUAAAUUAGGCCAAAACUAAGGAAAACAUAUUAACAUAUGAAAAUAUAUAUGUCUAAUGUAUUGAUAAUUAUUAUUAUGAUGUUUUAUUCUCACCACUUUAAAGCCAAGCACAAUACUUCACUUAACAAAUGUAGAAAACAAAAUCAAUAGAAAAUAAGACAAUAGACAGUACAAAUAAAGUUAUCCUACUAAUGAUCCUACUUAACAUAAUAGAGUCUUUAACCCACAACUGCUUCAUCUAAAGGCCCAAAAAGCAGAUUGAUAAUCCAACAACUAAAAGGUAAGAAAGCCCAUUUAAAUUUGUUGAAGCAGAAGGCAAUGUCGGCCCAGCUGCUACAGCCAUUGAUCCAAUAUUUUGGGCCACGUUUUGCUCUUUGGGCUGGAUUUUCACAGGUAUUUUCAGCCCAUUUUUGCAGCUCUCUGUGUUCCCACUAGCGAAGUACCUGAUUCCUUCUCCUUCGAGCGAGAUCUUAUCUAAGCCGUCCGUGUACAUCUUGAUCGGAUUUGUGACAUCACACGAUGCAAAUUCUUCCUCGUUUCUCAGCUCCACUACACUCUCUUGAGCUGCCGAGUAGGUGAACCCUGCUCAUGUAAUAUGUAAAUGAUAUAAUAAUCUACUUUUUAAGAAACUAUUUUCGGCAAGAUAACCAAUUCAUUUUGAAAUAUACUUGGGAGAAAUGAGUAAACAAAAUGGAAAGAUCGGAACCGAUAGGGACUACUGUUGUGCUUUCUAAAAUUGCAUACCUAUAUCAAGGGUUCAAAUUUCUAUCGAUAUUUGCAGAGUUGAUUAUCCCUCUCGUAAACAAGGAUUUGAAGUGGUUUAUAAUUUACGGAAUAUUCAAUAUAACUCACACAUUUUGUCACCAUCAAAGAUUGUGUUAAGAUGGAUAAGAUCCCUCCAUAAUUAUCCAAAAAUAACGUAUAAUGCGACACCAAAGUAGUGAUGGGUUGAGACCAUUCGCUACUAUAGUUAAAAUAAAGGGGUAAAUUUUUUUGCAAUCAAUUCUUUAUUUUUGAUAAUUGUGGUGUUCGAGCCAACUUAUGCAAUGACGAAGUUAGAAUUUUUAUUAAGGGGAGUCAAAAUAUAAAGAAAUAAACUCACCAAGAAGUCAAGGGGUGUCAUUAUAUAAUAUAUAUACAUAUUUUAAAAAAAUUACCGAGCUAAACAAUGUAAUUUUCCGACGAAGCGACACCCCUUGGGUGCAUAUGGCUCCGCCACUAAAUUUACGCGCACCUCAACUAAUUCCAAGAGAUUUUUCCGCAGUUAAUAUUUACGCCAAACUAUCCCAAAAAUAGGCUCAAAACUUUAUUCACUCUCUAACUUUAGUCAUAGUUCAAAUGGUACAAUAAAAGACUAUACUGUAUCCUUUAAUACUGAAUUCUCUGCCUAACCUAUGAGUAUGAGACAUAUCUCAAGGAAAAGAGAGAAAUAUUGUCAUUCAAAAUAUUCAAAAUAUUAAAUGAUUCUUUAAUACUGGAUUCAUUUCAUUUAUACAAUGACUGCCAAACUAAUAUUUAAUCAAUUUGAAUGAAUUUUAGAAAUAUUAUACUGUCAAUUGACAGUAGUCGAAAUACAAGAUCCUAUUUUCGACUUCUAUAGUAGCAUUUUGGUGCUUAUCUUACUGAUAUUGUAUACUUCUUUCUGAAAAAAAAUGAUAAAUAUUAUAGAAAUGGUAACAGAAAAAAAAAACUACUCGGAUAGCAAGAUAAAUAAGAAUCUCAAAAUCGAAUUACUAAUAAAUCUUCAUAAAGAUAGAAAAAAGCAUAGAAAAAGAAAUGCAUGGUUGGUUACAUUUUAAUCCUUGGAAGUCAUAUACUUUAUAUUUUUAAUAGUAAUAAUUAAAUAAUGUGGGGGCCAAUUUUCCUGAUUUCUAUUUUUACUUUAUUUUGGGACUUCGUGUAGUAACUUAUCUUGGUCCUUUUUUUUCAGAAUAGUACAGACCACACCCCGAAAAUCUAAACACAAUUGAAAACAUGUUUUUUUAAUACUCAAAUGCUCAACCAAUGAAAAAAGAUUUUCUUUUUUAAAUACUUACAAGUUCAAAGUACAAGAAGGAAUUCACUUUAUUUUUCACGUGAUUUUAAACAUUUAUUUUUUGAAUAAAAUUUCACAUUUAAAAGUUGUAGAUAUUCUUUCGGGCGGAGGGUCUAUUAGACACACAAACUCCCUGCCUUAUGGAUAAGAUUAACGUACAUACUAUUCUUCACAGACCCAACUUGUUAGAUUUCAUUAGUAUAUUAUUGUGUUGUUGUUAUAGCAUUUAAAAUUUAUACAUAAAAAGUGGAGUAUUAUAUUUCUUUUAAUUCAAAAUAUUUGAAAUAUAUUGCUUUUAAACACCUUAUAAUCUCUUUUGAAAAAACCAAAACCACAUUUCAUCAUCCAAACUAGAUAUGGAAAUACCUUACAUCUAGAUAAAUAAAUUGAAACCAAACAGGCCAAAUAAUGCAUUUUUUAGCAUUCGUAAAAAUAAUUAAUUAUCAGAUAAUUUAAAUAUUAUAGAAAUGACGAAACUGAUAUUUUUCUCUUCUUUCUCUUAUCCUUAGCUAAUAAAUUUCCAUAAGUCACAACACAACAGGAAAAUAUGAACUAAAGAUUUAGUUUAUGAAUAUUAACUGUAUUAGAAAAAUUAUUACAUUAUUAAUGUAACAACAAUGACUACGUAUGUCUCCAUUAAUAUUGCACUUUAAUAUAUUAAAAUUUAAUUUGUUGUGGAAAUUAAUCUGUCUUUAUUUUCUAGAUUUUAGUCGCUUUUUAUUUAUUUAUAGAUAAUUACAUAUAUUUAUCUUUAAGUAAUAUGAUGGUGUAUUUUAACUAUACGUAGGGAUUUAGAGGAAAAAGGAGAAGAAGCUCACAGAUUUUGUCACCAACUCUGAAAACUCUACCAGAGGACCAAGAAGCAACAUCAGAAGAUGGGUCCCACCCUCUAUCCUCUCCGACCACAUGGUGCACUUGAUCAUCAGCUCCGGCCACCAUCGCCGCCGUGAAAAGAAUCGCCGCCACCGCCACAACCAGUAGCUUCUUUGCACCCAUUUCCGCUAGUAGUAAUAAAUAGUACUAAGCUUGAGAGCAAAGCAAAGGUAAAGCUAUAAGCUUUAAUUUAUCAAAGAGAGAGAAAUAAAGAAAUGUUAUUUUUGAGUUAGGAGAAGUGUGGGGCUUUGGGAAUAUAACUUUGUGUCUAAGGGAGUUCCCUCCAAGGUGGAUGGGUGGGCCAUUUAAAUAGUCCGAAUUUAGGAUUCAAACUUAAUACGUUCAAUUUUAUAUAUUUGUAGUGCUCAAUUUGAAAAGAAUCUGAUUUAUGAUUUAAAUUUGAUAAGUUUAAACUAUAAUAUUUAGUUUUGAACUUAUUAUACUUUUGAAAAUAGAAGUUUAAAAGUCAAUUUUUUUGGUUAAAUUUAGUAACCAUCAAGGAAUGCGAUGGAUAACUAAAAUUUCUCCAUCUUUAACAUAGUUUUUGGAUUAGAGUCCUUCGAACAACUUCUUGGUAGAGAGCGUCUCCCUUUCUAAUUGGCCCUACGAUUUGAAUUCGGACUAGUUAAGCCAUAUAUAUAUAUAUAUAUAUAUAUCUCGAAAUUACUGUUUCACCUAGAGGUCGUUUGGUUGGGAAACAAGUUAUUCCAUAAUUAACUAUCUCGGGAUUAGUUAUCUUCAGGGGCGGAGCUACAGUAGUGGGUGCGGGCUCAGGCGAACCCAGUGACUUUUUCCGGAACCUUAUAUUUGUAUUGAAAUAUUUACUAAAUCUAUAUAAAUAUAUACUGCCGAACCCAGUAGCAAAAGGGGUCUUGGUUCGACGGUAAGGGUUGUGGGUUCGUUGGAAAAGAUGAGGGUUUGAUUCCCGCUGAAAGCAGUGUUUCUGUUUUAAAUUUAAAAAUACUACAAUCCCGGGAUAACUAAUCCUACCACGAUUUUAUCCCAAUCAAAUAUAGGAUAAACUCAUCUCAAAUUUAAUCUCGAGAUUAAUUAACCUUUAUCCCUCGUACUAAACGAGUCCUUAAAAUUAUUAUUCAAAAUAUUCAUCAGCCUCUAUAGGUGGCGGGUAAGUGAGGGUUUCGAGGUAGUUUCCUCAGAAAUAGAACAUGCUACAAAUAGAGGUGCAAGUAAGUGACUGGUUGGUAAGAGAGAUACCUUUCAAUUAUUUUCAUUUUUUUGGCUGUAUUUUUAUUAGUUUGCCACAUGCACUUUUGUUACUGCUUUUGUUUUUUUUAUCUAACUACCCACCAUUGGUAAAGAUUGUUACAACUCAAUUGCUUUGUCAUACCCCCCGUUUUUGUCAUUAGCUUUUAGUGGUGGUAAAGCUACCACAAUAUCAAGAAUUUGACUUAAUCAGUUGAGUUCUUUUUUACUUUUCGGUAUCUACAUAAAAGAAAAAAAUCAAGUGCAAUUUACACUUUAGAAUUCUUAUUUGCUUGUAGGAGUUUGGACAAUAUACUUCAACAAUUAGUAUUUGUAAAUUGAAGCUGUGUUUAGAUAGGAAUUUCACUUAAAACUAAAAGCUGAGGAUUUGUUAGUGAAAACUGUUAUUUCGCUUAAAAUAUUCCUCAAAUAAAUUCAUAAUAUUUUUAAAAAUCAUAAUUUUGAGUUUCUACACUACCUCUAAUCAAGACUUAGGUCCUUCAUAACUGCGUCGUAAUGGAUCAACUUAGGUUGAAAUACUGUUUCUGUGACUUCCUGACCAAAUUCACCUACAAGUAAAUGGUUGAUCAAAAUUCACCACCAUAAACAAGAAGUUUUGAUUCGAGCAGGAUAUAAUAUCACUCACUUAACAUUCAACUAGUCGUAAAUAAAUGAGAUUUAAAGAUUUCAUAUACAGUUGCAUAAUUAAUUUUGAAGUUGUACGUUCGAUGCUCGUUGUUUGCUACCCAAACUGCCACCAUUACAAGAUAACUAUAGGCCAAUUUGUCAAUAAAGCUAUUCAUUCUUUUUACGUGAAAAUGAGUGAUGUACAUUCGAACGGUGUGUAAGGUGUAGUAUUUGUAGUUUAAGCAAAGAAGAAGAGAGAAGAAAUUCGGAAUGUCAGGUGGUGCUGGUGCGGGGCGAGUUUUGUUUGAAUCCGUGCAAUUUAAACCUGUCCCGCCUCGCAUAAGAUUUAAACCCGCAUUCAUCCAUCCCGCACUCCACCCGCGUUCACCCGCCCCGCAAAUUUUUUAUUAUAAUUUUUUUUUCUUUUUUAGAAAACUAGACUUAAAUCUGAUUUUUUUAACAAAACAAUUAAUUAUAUCCAAAUUGUUCUUAAAUUCUCAUCUUUUGCCUCUAAAUCCAGUGGUUUUCCUACACAACAAUUUGCAUUACAGAAGGGGUUUUAUUGAGUCCCACAAUUUUUAUAUUCAAAACCCCUUUCUUUCCUUACUGCCACUAGAAGUAAAAUGCACAUGCUCUUAUUCUACUUUGUACAUGUCCCAGAAAAUGACUCAUCGUUGAUUUUACUUUUCCAAAUAAGGCUAAAGGAUCCUAACAUUAAAAAAUUAACAGUAGAAACAAACUUAGUAGUAACAAGCUUAGUAGUAAUAGGCCAAUCACAACAUUAUAUUUUUGAAACAAGCUUAGUAGUAAUAAAGACACCUCAGUUAGUUAACUACUGGAGUAGUAAUCCUACAUACAAACAAUUAGAUCCCCACCGGAGCUCUGUCCCGCCACGCGUUAUUAUUUUUAUUUAAAAUUUGAACCCGCCCCACACGCGCACCGUCUCAUUGCCAUCCUUAAAAGAAAUUGCAGGUGAAAUUAAGUGUUGAGCCAAAGUGUAGGAUUUGUUACAUAUUGGUUAGGGGAAAGAGUAGUUAUUGUUUCUUAUUAUAUAAUUUUGAUAAUUAUACUUACCUCAUGAGUUAGGCGCAAUGUUACUAUAUGAUGCUUAUUAGAGUCAUACUCAUGCUUAUUUUUGGUUUAUCCUGUUUAAGACACCAUAUUAUAUUAUUUACGCUUCAAAUGUUUAAUUUUAAAUGCGUAGAGGUAGAAUGUUAAAAUCUCGAUCUACAUUGCCUGAGGAAAUAAGUAGUCUCCUUAUAUAGUCUUCAGUAGUUCUCAUCUUUUAAACUAGCUUUUAGGAUUGUAUUUGACAAAUAUAUUUUUUUAAUAUGAUAAUCACUGAUAGAAAAUCGUGGAAUUCUGACCGAAAUUUUCGACGGAAAAAAAUUGUCGGAAAUUUCCGACCAAAUCUGUCAGGAUUUUAAAAAAAUAUUUAUAUUUUUUAAAAUCAUUUCGACCAGACCAAAUCAGUCGUAAUGUUUAGCGCAAAAGUCCGAAAAGUUAUUUCCGACCGAAUCCGUCGAUAUUAUAUUUUUAAAAUUUGACUGUUUGACUUGUUUGAUUUUAGUAGCGACCAAAUCGAUCGGUAAAUUUUUUUUAAAAAAAAUUUAAUUAUAUUUCGACCGAAUCGGUCGAAAAUCUAUUUUUAAACCCGACCCUCGUUCCCAAAAAAUAGAAGCUCAUUUUUCUUUCUUCCUCCUCUCAUCCUCCUCAUCUCUCCCUCUCGUCCUUCUUCACCAUCCUCCUACUUCUAGGUAAUUUCUCUCUCUCUCUCUCUCUCUCUCUCUCUCUCUCUCUCGUUUUCUCCUCCCUUCUCCCUCUCCCUCUCCCUCCUCCUCCCUUUUCCCCAUAAUUUUUUUUUGAACUUAUUUUUUUUGUUUUGCAGUAGUGGCGCCGAAGCGGCAGCUCCACCAUCUUUCUUCUCCGGCAUUCUUUCCGGCGAGGUAAGUAGUUUGUUGACAUAUAUUUUAUUUUUAUUGUUAAAUUUAUAGUAAUAUUAUUUGUUGUAGGCUUAUUGAAUUUUCUUUAUAUGAACAUCCUAACUAGUUGAAUUAGGUAUGGUUAAAUUUUUAGAGAUUUUAAUUUUUGUAGGUUUAUUUGAUAUAUGUAUGGUUGAAUUGGCAUUAUGUAAAAUUUAAUUGUAUAUUUCUCUUUGUAUGCUAUAAGUUUAUAGGGUUCCCUAUAAGAAAAAUAUAACACCAUUACUUUGAAUUUAUCUAUGGAAUGAUAUAUUAACUUUAUAAUUUAUUGAUUUUAAUUGUAUUAACUAGUUAUAGUUUAAAACUUUUGUGUAAAGCUUGUUGUACUAGGUUCAUUGUUGCUUGUUAGUUUUACUAUUAGAAUGAUAUUAAAUUUACUUUUUUUCAAUUUCAACAUUAAAAUUAAUUUGUAGAUUUGAGAAAUUAUUAGUUUGGAUUAUAUGAAUAUUUAAGAAGCUAUUCAAAUUUAAUUAUUAUAGUUAAAGACUUACAUAAUUUAGAAUAGGUAUUAAUAUGAGAUUUUGAGUGUUAAAAUAUAUUAAUUUAAAAAAUAAAAUAUAUCAAUUAAAGUGCUUUGACACAAUGAUAUGUAUAUAUCUAAAAGCAACCUUUGAAAGAGUAUAACUUUGUAAUCAAUUUAAAUAAAUCAAAUUAUUUUAAAUAUCUUAUUUCUAGAUUUUUAUUUGUGUAGAUGAAAUUUGUGCAUCGUAGAUGGAUGUAUAAUAGGAAUCAUCCUCAUCGUGCAGGCUUGAGGGAUGAUUUAUUGAAAGAGUUGCUGAAUUCAUUGCUAAGGCUCAAACACUUGAUGAUUUUCUUAUUGGAGGAAGGAUAAUGUAAGUGUGUUAAGUUAUUGAAAACAAACGAAGUUCAAGUUCAUCUCUACAAGAGAGGGUUUGUAGAAAAUUAUUAUAUAUGGACUGUUCACGGGGAGAAUCAUGCUAGUUUAGAUGAUGUUAACUUUCAUAAUUCUUUUGAUGGUGAGGGUAGCCCCAUAGCAGAGCAUAAUGUUAAAAUUUUUUGAUAUAAUGAAAUGAUGAGGGAUGCUUUUGGGAUAUUUCUUGGGGCUCAAUCCGAACCAAAUGAUGAGACUAAGCGUUUCUAUGAACAGUUAGAGGAAGCUAGUCAUCCAUUGUAUGAAGUCUCGAUGCAUUCCAAGUUGUCUGUUGCAGUUAGAUUGCUAAGUAUUAAAUCGAAUAGUUCUAUUUUUCAAGCGGGCAUAGAUUCUAUUAUUGUGCUUAUGAAUGAACUUAAUACGAGUAACAUUGACUUACCAAAAGAUUUCUACAUUGCUAAGAAAUUGGUUUCUAAGUUGGGCCUUUCAUCAGAGAGAAUUGAUUGUUGUGAGAAAGGUUGCAUGUUAUUCUAUAAGGAUGACGCAUCUUUAGAGAAUUGUAAAUUUUUUAAUUAUCCUCGUUUUAAGGAAGUCACAAAAGCCAAUACAAAAAAGAAGGUUCCAGUUAAAGCAAUGCAUUAUUUAUUACUUAUACCUAGGUUAAAGAGGUUGUAUGCAUCAAUGAGCCCUGCUCCUUAUAUGAGAUGACACUAUGAACAUAGAAGGCCCACAUGUUAUUCUAUGUCAUCCGUCAUAUGGAGAAGCGUGAAAGCAUUUUGAUAGGUGUCACACCUCCUUUUUUCCGCAGGAUGAUAUUAGGGGAAUAAGGGAGUUUUUCCAAUUUAAGUGAUAUUAAUCGAAAUGGGAUUAUUUAUUUAUUCAGAGUCGCCACUUGGAAUAAGUUAUGGUGUCCCAAGUCACCGGUUUAUUUUAAAUCCCAAAUCGAGGAAAUUUGACUCUAAUUUUUGGUUUGCGAACACAGAAGACCGGGUAAGAAAUUUUGUUAACCCGGAAGAAGGUAUGAGGCACUCCCGAAUUAUGUGGUUUUAGCACGGUCGCUUAACUAGUAAUAAUUGGCCUAAUUAUCUGAUUUAUACAUAUUUGAAACCUAUGCAUUUUUAUCUUUUAACCACUUUUAAUAUUUAUGGAAUUUUAUUUGAACAAGUCGCGAUGUCGCGCGCUCGUUUGUUUUUGUACACAUUGCGAAUCGCGCCACGUGAAACGUACCCGCAAUUUACAACAUGUAAAUUUUUAUUAUUAUUGUUUGAAUUUAAGGUCGAGUCACGUGAAACGCACACUCAAAUUGGGAUUAUGUAUCAUGACUAUGCCACGAGACCGUACCCAUAGUCACGAUGAUUUAUUAAUCGCGUCUAAAGCAAAUUACGAUGUUUAUGAAUUAUUCUCUAAAUUUGAGAUUGUUGUGAGGCUCAGGAGUUAUGGAAUGAAUUCGUGGAGAACGGUAUAAAUGGGCCAGCAAAAUGCGCUUACUAGGAUUGGGCUACCUAUAGCUAUUAUCAAUUGGGCCUGACAUGGUUCAACUUAAUUGAGCACCAAAUCUAUAAAAUUUAAUUGAGAAAAAAAAUCAGGACCAAAUCCCAUUCACAUCUUCAUUUUGUACAUUGCUCAAAUCUGAUUCCCACAUCAUUAGCAAACAACAUUAAACUUCUGUGCAUGAUGCAAAUCUCAGCGUUAAACAACAUCCAUCUUAAGCACACAAUUAUUCAUCCAAAUGAAGUAAUGCACUUCUUAUCAACAUAAAUACAACCUAAGUUGGAUUGCCGAAACAGAAAAGUUUAUAGCUUUUAGACGUUAAAGCAGCAGCAAAGAUGCGAAAAAUAAAUUAUGAGCCCCGUGAAAAAAAAAUUAAAAAAAAUCCACAUACUAUCACUAAAUAUGAAACAGUGUUCCAACUUCAUUCAAGCAUUAGAUAAGAGCAUACUAAAGAGAUAGAGCAUGAAAUAAUUGGACCUUUAUUGAUGACUGUGAACUUUAAAUUACAGCACCUCAAUUAUCGAAUAACUUUCAGACGGAGCCUUUUUAAUCGCGGAAACCUCAGGCGAUCAAACAAAGCUCUAGCGAGACCCAUUUGUCGCGCCGAACUCGAACCCGACUCAAGAAAAUCGACAAGGUGGUUUGGGGUGUUUUUCGGCUAAGCUCGCCAGCAGGCGGCGAAGAUGGAGAAGGGAGGUGGCUGCUGGUUUAUUUUUGAAAUGGGGAGGGUCUCCUCUGAUAUNNNNN